rnacentral:rRNA from 1 species
CCUACGGGGGGCUGCAGUGGGGAAUAUUGGACAAUGGGGGCAACCCUGAUCCAGCCAUGCCGCGUGUGUGAAGAAGGCCCUCGGGUGGUAAAGCACUUUCAGUGAGGAAGAACGCCUGGUGGUUAAUACCCAUCAGGAAAGACAUCACUCACAGAAGAAGCACCGGCUAACUCCGUGCCAACAGCCGCGGUAAUACGGAGGGUGCGAGCGUUAAUCGGAAUUACUGGGCGUAAAGCGCGCGUAGGUGGCUUGAUAAGCCGGUUGUGAAAGCCCCGGGCUCAACCUGGGAACGGCAUCCGGAACUGUCAAGCUAGAGUGCAGGAGAGGAAGGUAGAAUUCCCGGUGUAGCGGUGAAAUGCGUAGAGAUCGGGAGGAAUACCAGUGGCGAAGGCGGCCUUCUGGACUGACACUGACACUGAGGUGCGAAAGCGUGGGUAGCAAACAGGAUUAGAUACCCCGGUAGUC